GUGAAAUUGAACUCGCUGUGAAGAUGCAGUGUACCCGCGGCAAGACGGAAAGACCCCGUGAACCUUUACUAUAGCUUGACACUGAACAUUGAGCCUUGAUGUGUAGGAUAGGUGGGAGGCUUUGAAGUGUGGACGCCAGUCUGCAUGGAGCCGACCUUGAAAUACCACCCUUUAAUGUUUGAUGUUCUAACGUGGACCCGUUACCCGGGUUGCGGACAGUGUCUGGUGGGUAGUUUGACUGGGGCGGUCUCCUCCUAAAGAGUAACGGAGGAGCACGAAGGUUGGCUAAUCCUGGUCGGACAUCAGGAGGUUAGUGCAAUGGCAUAAGCCA
rnacentral:rRNA from 4 species